CACUCUGACAGGCACGGAAUUCACGCGCUCUGCUGCGAACUGCAUUAUCGAAUUAUUCUGCCUCACUAGUUAAAAAUCCCUGUCCAAGCGGCGUGGCUAGGGAAGGGGGUGGGGUGGGAAGCCCUAGAAGUCGGCUCUCUUCUCCCAGGGUCCUCUAGGAAAUUUCUAGUAAGCACGGAAGAAACGCCAAACUAGUCCUAACAGCUGUUCAGGUACUGCAUCUGGAGCCGCAGGCUCGGGCGCUCCCGCAGCUCCUGCAGCACUCGGGAGUCGCCAGCGCCGCGGCCGC
rnacentral:lncRNA from 1 species